UGGCUAAGUGGUAUAGCGCCUCACUAGUAAUGAGGAGAUCGGGUGUUCGAUUCACCU
rnacentral:tRNA from 1 species